rnacentral:rRNA from 1 species
GAUGAACGCUGGCGGCGUGCCUAAUACAUGCAAGUCGAGCGAACAGAUGAGGAGCUUGCUCCUCUGACGUUAGCGGCGGACGGGUGAGUAACACGUGGAUAACCUACCUAUAAGACUGGGAUAACUUCGGGAAACCGGAGCUAAUACCGGAUAAUAUAUUGAACCGCAUGGUUCAAUAGUGAAAGACGGUUUUGCUGUCACUUAUAGAUGGAUCCGCGCCGCAUUAGCUAGUUGGUAAGGUAACGGCUUACCAAGGCAACGAUGCGUAGCCGACCUGAGAGGGGGAUGGACCACCAUGGAACGGAGACACGGUCCAGACGCCUACGGGAGGCAGCAGUAGGGAAUCUUCCGCAAUGGGCGAAAGCCGGACGGAGCAACGCCGCGUGAGUGAUGAAGGUCGUCGGAUCGUAAAACUCUGUUAUUAGGGAAGAACAAAUGUGUAAGUAACUAUGCACGUCUUGACGGUACCUAAUCAGAAAGCCACGGCUAACUACGUG